rnacentral:rRNA from 1 species
GACGAACGCUGGCGGCGUGCUUAACACAUGCAAGUCGAACGAUGAACCGAGAGCUUGCUCUUGGGGAUUAGUGGCGAACGGGUGAGUAACACGUGAGUAACCUGCCCUGGACUCUGGGAUAACCCCGAGAAAUCGGAGCUAAUACCGGAUAGGACCCUGUACCGCAGGGUGUGGGGUGGAAAGUUUUUUCGGUUUGGGAUGGACUCGCGGCCUAUCAGCUUGUUGGUGAGGUAAUGGCUCACCAAGGCGUCGACGGGUAGCCGGCCUGAGAGGGUGACCGGCCACACUGGGACUGAGACACGGCCCAGACUCCUACGGGAGGCAGCAGUGGGGAAUAUUGCACAAUGGGCGCAAGCCUGAUGCAGCAACGCCGCGUGCGGGAUGACGGCCUUCAGGUUGUAAACCGCUUUUAGUAAGGAAGAAGGGGAGCUUGCUCCUUGACGGUACUUGCAGAAAAAGGACCGGCUAACUACGUGCCAGCCGCCGCGGUAAUAC